rnacentral:rRNA from 1 species
AUAUCAAUAAGCGGAGGAAAAGAAAAUAACAAUGAUUCCCUUAGUAACGGCGAGUGAAGGGGGAAAAGCUCAAAUUUUAAAUCGGUGUAGGUUUUACCUAGUCGAGUUGUAAUUUGGAGAAGCGUCUUCCGCGCUGGACCGUGCAUAAGUCUCCUGGAAUGGAGCGUCAUAGAGGGUGAGAAUCCCGUCUUUGGCACGGACCCCAGGGCUUCUGUGAUGCGCUCUCAAAGAGUCGAGUUGUUUGGGAAUGCAGCUCAAAAUGGGUGGUGAACUCCAUCUAAAGCUAAAUAUUGGCGAGAGACCGAUAGCGCACAAGUA